ensembl:lncRNA
AGAUCCAUGUGAGUAGAUGCACUGUGGACCUCACAGGCUGUGUGUAAAGAAGGACGGAAAGCCUGUCUUUGCUUCAGAGUCUAACAUCUGCUCUGUAUAAGGGAUUCUUACUACCGCACCUUCGUCGGUAGUAACACUUUGCCGUGAUUGUGGCUAGUAUAUGUCCAUACUGUCUUGCUUUUGCAGAUCAAUAGUCAGCAGAGGAACCUGCCCCUAGCCCUGGCCGCCGGCUCUCUGCCUUUAAACCCUAGCAGCUCCAGCGUUGUCUUGGAAACAGACUUUGGCCUGAUGCUGCGGUAUGACUGGCAUCACAACCUUGAAUUGGAAGUGGCACCGGAGCUGUCUGGUUCACUGUGUGUUCUCUGUGGAAACUACAGCCACAAUGCAACUAAUGACUUUGCCACCCCUGAUGGAACUGUGGCGGCUGUGGACUUCGCGCUUCGCUGGAAAGUGGACUGCGGCGCCUCAUGUCCUGUGUGCAGUACAGGCCAAGUGAACUCUAAACCUACAUUGGGUUCGGUUUCAGGCUGCUGCAGAGCCACGUCCAUGUUGUUCCUGAACAGGACGUCUGCAGCUGCAAGGCUGACCAAUGUGCUGCUGAUGGAGCUCCUUCUGCUGUCUGUAGGUCGAUGCAGGUAUACUCUGACAUAUGUCAGAGGCCGGCUACCUCCCAGUGAAAGGACGGCUAUCUGCUCAGUGGCAGCCAUUGUGUCCCAGACAGCAGGUGUGGCUGCAGCCAUCAAGGUCUCUACUACCUCCCCAAGGAGAUGUUCUGGAUGGACCGCCAGUGUCGGAAGCAGUGCACCUGCCAGCCUUCCUCCAAGAAUGUCACCUGUGUCCAGGCCCAGUGUCAGGAGGACAAGGUGUGCAAGAUUCUGGCUGGGCUGCCAUAAGGAAGGGCUUAGGGUGUGCACAGCUCAAGGGGAUCGGCAUUACACCAUUUUUGACGGGAACAGGUGUGUCUUCCAAGGCACCUGUGCGUACCAGCUGGUGAGGCACUUCCCUAGCUCGGGAGACCUGCCUGGUUUCAGUGUGGUGACACAGAACAUGAGGAGGACGACACCAACACUUCUUAUUCCAGAAGGGUCAAUAUUUUGAUUCAUGGUUACUCUAUUGAGAUCUCUCAUUACUGGGAUGAAGUAGUUGUGGUCAAUGGGAUUAUUUUGAGCCUUCCCUCAGUGUUGAGCCAAGGUAAAGUGAAGAGCUCUCCACGUGUAUUGAGACUGUCUUUGGUGUCCUGGUCACAUACAACUGGAACCUCCUGACUGUCCAAGUGCCCAGGGUCUUCUCUGGCUCACUCUAUGGCCUGUGUGGGAACUUCAACGCGGACCCAGAGGACUAUCUAACAGACGACGGGGACAUCUAUGGCUGUGAGGCGCUGGAAAACUAGUAACGUUGUUGAAUGUGUGGAUGUGACGACAAUGAACAAUCCCCAAUGCCCCAUCAGGAACAGGCUCUCUAUUUAGGCAGGGACUACUGAGGGAGUGUUCCAGAACUGCCACGGGAUGGUCAACCCCAAACGCUGCCUUUGACAACUGUCUACGACCUCUGCUACAACAAUGACAAGCAGAAUGCCCUGUGUCAGAUUCUCUCAAGUUACACCGCUGCUUGCCAGGAGGAAGGGGCAAACAUAGAUGAAUGGAGGCUUCAGAUUAUUGUGGUCUGUCCUGUCCAGCCAACAUUGAAUACAACCUGUGCUCCAUCCCUGUGCCCAACAAUUGUGUGGCGUCUCGUGUAAACCUGGGUUCUUCCAUAGUGGUGUGUCCCCAACACUGAGUGCGGCUGCCUCUGACGGUUUGUGCCACAAGAUCAAGGCAGUGUUUUACGCCCAUGAUCAUUGCCAGGUUGCUUCUCUUGUCGGUCAUGGCUAGCUACCAUGCACUGACACCACCUGUUCCAGUGGAACAGAGUGUAGGAUCCAAAAUGGACCCUGUGACUGCUAUCCAGCGCCAGUUUCAGGGAAGUGCAAAGUGGUGGGAGGCAGGCACUUGGACCUAUGAUGGGCAUAGCUUUGAUCUCCAUAUGGGCAUAUCAAGAAGCCCCCAUUUCCUAAACCAGACAUAUGCCAAGAAUGGAGCAGAUACAUUUUCAUAUAUACAGCAAGGGCAGCUACACCUGAGGUACAAGGGACUGAAUGACUGUGGAACUGCAGCAGAGGGGGAUGGUUGAGGUGGAAAUGGACAAUGGGGCAGUGAUCACGUACAGUGGACCUGACUUCAUACAGCUGUUAUCUCCUCCUGCCUACGCUGGUAAGGCAUGUGGGUGGUGUUGAAACUUCAACAGCACUGCUACAGAUGACACUCAGAUGGUCCGUGACGUUUUCCUGUCUGGGGUCAUCUGCCCAGAGUGUAACUGGACCUUGGCGGCUGAGUUCAAGUUGGAGCAUUUCUGUGGAGUCCUCUCAGCUCCUGCUGGCCUAUUCAGAGACUGCCACGCCACGGUAGACCCACAACCUUUCUUGGACAACUGUGUAAAGGCCCCUGUGUGUGUCUUGAAGGGAUAUGGCAAAGUACUGUGGCAGCCUGAAGGAUUAUUGGGGCGGCAGGGUAGCCUAGUGUUUAGAGCGUUGGACUAGUAACCGAAAGGUUGCAAGUUUGAAUCCCCGAGCUGACUAGGUACAAAUCUGUCGUUCUGCUCCUGAACAGGCAGUUAACCCACUGUUACUAGGCCGUCAUUGAAAAUAAGAAUUUGUUCUUAACUGACUUGCCUAGUUAAAUAAAGGUAGAAAAAAAAUCUAUGUUUGUAUUUUAUGAAGCCGCAGCCAAGGUCUAGCCAUGGAGGGGAGACGAAUGCUGUAAGUGGAUGAUGCAAGAUCCUUUCUGGCUUAAAACUGAAUUCAACAUGUAUUAUGUUUACAAAGACAAAAUGUCUUUCCCCUCCAUACAGCCAUGUCAUGCCCAGUGAACUCUCACUACAAGGUGUGUACCAAUGCCUGCCCUGAAACCUGUGCCAAUACUUCUGGUUUGGUCACCAGUCCUUCGACUUGUGUGGAUGGGUGCCAGUGUGAGGCUGGGUAAUGUGCUCAGUCAUGAUCACUGUGUCAAGCCUGUGCAGGGUGGCUGAUUCCAGACUGGAUGCUAUUAUGAGGUGUGUGUGUGGAACUGGCAGAAGCAACGGUUUAAUGGUUCAGUCAGACUGGCUUUUGUAUUGUACUCCCAAAUUACUCUAUGUGUAGCUGGUUUGUUUCCAAUCCCAAACUAUACUGAACAAAAAUAUAAACGCAACAUACAAGAAUGUCAAAGAUUUUACUGAGUUACAGUUAAAUUGAAAUAAAAUGAAAUAGGCCCUAAUCUAUGAAUUUCACAUGACUGGGAAGGGGGGUAGCCAUGAGUGAGCCAUAGGCCCACCCACUUGGGAGCCAGGCCCAGCUAAUCAGAAUUAGCUUUUCCUCACAAAAGUGCUUUAUUACAGAAAGAAAUUCUCCUCAGUUUAAUCAGCUGUCUGGGUGUCUAGUCUCAGAUGGAUGUGGAGGUCCUGGGCUGGCAUGGUUACAUGUGGUCUGAGAUUGUGAGGCCGGUUGGACGUACUGACACAUUUUCUGAAAUGAAGUUGGAGGCAGCUUAUGGUAGAGAAAUUAACAUCACAUUCUCUGGCAACAGCUCUGGUGGACAUUCCUGCAAUCAGCAUGCCAAUUCCAUGCUCCCUCUACAAACAUCUGUGGCAUUGUGUUGUGACAAAACUGCAUGUUUUAGUGGCCUUUUAUUGUCCCCAGCACAAGGUGAACCUGUUUCAUGCUGUUUAAUCAGCUUCUUAAUGUGCCACACCUGUCAGGUGGAUGGCUUAUCUUGGCAAAGAAGAACUGCUCACUAACAGGGAUGUAAACACAUGUUUUCACAAUCUGAGAGAAACAAGCUUUUUGUGCAUAUAGAACAUUUCUGGGAUCUUUUUUUCAGCUCAUGAAACAUGGGACCAACACUUUACAUGUUGCGUUUAUAUUUCUGUCCAAUAUGUAUUUUCUGGGUUGUAGUCAUUGGUGCAUUUCCAAACCUUUCCAAAAUGACCAGAUCAUUUGACUGUUUUAUCAUGUUCCAAGACUAGAGGUUUGAUUACUCUGAGAGUGUAGUCAGUAAUGACACAUUGUCACAUUUAUUAUGACACAUUAUUUAUCAUCAAUUCCCAAACCUGAAUUUAUGCAGCUGUAAUCCCUGACAUGUUGCCACAACUACACCACAGAUCAAAAUGUGCCGUGCUUCAUUUAGACCAGGC